AGAGUUUGAUCCUGGCUCAGAUUGAACGCUGGCGGCAGGCCUAACACAUGCAAGUCGAGCGGUAGAGAGAAGCUUGCUUCUCUUGAGAGCGGCGGACGGGUGAGUAAUGCCUAGGAAUCUGCCUGAUAGUGGGGGAUAACGUUCGGAAACGGACGCUAAUACCGCAUACGUCCUACGGGAGAAAGCAGGGGACCUUCGGGCCUUGCGCUAUCAGAUGAGCCUAGGUCGGAUUAGCUAGUUGGUGAGGUAAUGGCUCACCAAGGCUACGAUCCGUAACUGGUCUGAGAGGAUGAUCAGUCACACUGGAACUGAGACACGGUCCAGACUCCUACGGGAGGCAGCAGUGGGGAAUAUUGGACAAUGGGCGAAAGCCUGAUCCAGCCAUGCCGCGUGUGUGAAGAAGGUCUUCGGAUUGUAAAGCACUUUAAGUUGGGAGGAAGGGCAUUAACCUAAUACGUUAGUGUUUUGACGUUACCGACAGAAUAAGCACCGGCUAACUC
rnacentral:rRNA from 1 species